rnacentral:rRNA from 1 species
ACACCGGCAGCCCAAGUGUUGGCCAUUUUUAUUGGGCCUAAAGCGUUCGUAGCCGGCCUGAUAAGUCUCUGGUGAAAUCCCGCAGCUUAACUGUGGGAAUUGCUGGAGAUACUAUCAGGCUUGAGGUCGGGAGAGGUUAGAGGUACUCCCAGGGUAGGGGGGAAAUCCUAUAAUCCUGGGAGGACCACCUGUGGCGAAGGCGUCUAACUGGAACGAACCUGACGGUGAGUAACGAAAGCCAGGGGCGCGAACCGGAUUAGAUACCCGGGUAGUCCUGGCCGUAAACGAUGUGGACUUGGUGUUGGGAUGGCCUCGAGCUGCCCCAGUGCCGAAGGGAAGCUGUUAAGUCCACCGCCUGGGAAGUACAGUCGCAAGACUGAAACUUAAAUGAAUUGGCGGGG